AAACCAGCACCUCAAGUGGUCAGGAGGAUUGUUGGGCCUAAAGCAUCCGUAGCCUGUUCUAUAAGUUUCCGGUUAAAUCCACUAGCUCAACUAGUGGGCUGCCGAAAAUACUGUAGAACUAGGGAGUGGGAGAGGUAGACGGUAUUCGGUAGGAAGGGGUAAAAUCCUUUGAUCUAUUGAGGACCACCUGUGGCGAAGGCGGUCUACCAGAACACGUUCGACGGUGAGGGAUGAAAGCUGGGGGAGCAAACCGGAUUAGAAACCCCAGUAGUCC
rnacentral:rRNA from 1 species